rnacentral:tRNA from 1 species
GCCGGGGUGAUGGAAUUGGUAGACAUACGGGACUUAAAAUCCCGGGAGGCACUAAAAAUCCUCGUGAGCGUUCGAGUCGCUCCCCCGGCA